CAUGUCCUUUUGAUUAAAAUUUAAGGUCUAAUCUGCUCAAUGAUAUUUAAAUAGCCGCAGUAUUUUGACUGUGCAAAGGUAGCAUAAUAAUUAGUUUCUUAAUUAGAAGCUGGAAUGAAUGAUUGGACAAGAAAAUUUCUGUCUCUUUCUUAGUUUUAUUGAAUUUUAUUUUUAAGUGAAAAAGCUUAAAUUUUUAUAAAAGACGAGAAGACCCUAUAGAGUUUUAUAAUUUAAUUUUAAUAAGAAUUUAGAAUAUUUAUUUAAUGUUAAUUAUUUGGUUGGGGUGACUAAAAGAUUAAUAAAAUUCUUUUAAAAAUUUAAUUGAAGAUUUUCAAUUUUUAAAUCUAUAGUUUAUAAAACUAAAAUAAAUUACCUUAGGGAUAACAGCGUAAUUUUUCUUUAAAGUUCUUAUUGUAAGAAAAGUUUGCGACCUCGAUGUUGGAUUAAAAUUAAUUUUUGGUGCAAUAACUUAAAAAUUAGGUCUGUUCGACCUUUAAAAUUUUACAUGAUCUGAGUUUAGACCGGUGUGAGCCAGGUCGGAUUCUAUCUUUAGAAAUUUUUUAUAUUUUAGUACGAAAGGACCAAAUAUAAGUUAAAUUA
rnacentral:rRNA from 1 species